UCUCUAUAGAAUGUCUUCCAACAAGGAUCCUGGGGCCCACCCAAAUGAUUGUCUCAGCAUGAAAGAGCACACAGCUCUCUUGCA